CCGCCCGUCAAACCAUGGGAGCUGGUAAUGCCCGAAGUCGGUUUAUUAACAAACUGCCUAAGGCAGGACUGGUGACUGGGGUUAAGUCGUAACAAGGUAUCCCUACGAGAACGUGGGGAUGGAUUACCUCCUUUCUACGGAGUACAAAGCUAAUUUAAUUAGCAUUAACCUUAUUUUUCAGACCUACUAUUAUUAUUUAUCGUCAUGGCUUGGUUAGGUCCCAAGUGUAUAUCUAGUUUUGAGGGAACAAUUCUCUCAAUUGUUCUUUGAAAACUGAAUAGUAAAUAUUUUAAAAUAUUACAACGACAUCAAAAAAAUGAAUAAAUUUGGUUUAUUCGUAUUGAUUCAUCGAGUAAUCAUAUUAAUUAUAUGAUUCAUUGAAAUGUCUUAAAAUACACAUCAUAACAAUAGGAAAUCUUAAUUUAAUAAAUUAAGGACAUACUUUUAAAUAAGUAAGAGUUUGUGGUGGAUGCCUUGGGUCUGGAAGUCGAUGAAGGACGUGAUUACCUGCGAUAAGCCUCGUGGAGCUGGAUAUAAGCUACGAAACGGGGAUUUCCGAAUGGGGAAACCUAACUAGGGUAAUGCCUAGUUGCCUUCUUGUGAAUACAUAGCAAGUCGAGCGAGACACCAUGUGAACUGAAACAUCUUAGUAGCAUGAGGAACAGAAAAUAAAUAAUGAUUUCUUUAGUAGCGGCGAGCGAACGAGAAACAGCCCAAACCACUUUAAAGUGGGGUUGUAGGACAGUCUACAUAGAGUUACAAAAUUUAAUGAUAGCAGAAACAUUUGGGAAAAUGUAGCAUAGAGGGUGAUACUCCUGUACGCGAAAUCAUUAAAUCUCUUGACUGUAUCCUGAGUAGGGCGGGGCACGUGAAACCCUGUCUGAAUCUGCCGGGACCACCCGGUAAGGCUAAAUACUAACCAGACACCGAUAGUGAACUA
rnacentral:sRNA from 2 species